CCUACGGGGCGCAGCAGUGGGGAAUAUUGGACAAUGGGCGAAAGCCUGAUCCAGCCAUGCCGCGUGUGUGAAGAAGGCCUUCGGGUUGUAAAGCACUUUCAGUGGGGAAGAAAGCCUUGGGGCUAAUACCCUCGAGGAAGGACAUCACCCACAGAAGAAGCACCGGCUAACUCCGUGCCAGCAGCCGCGGUAAUACGGAGGGUGCGAGCGUUAAUCGGAAUUACUGGGCGUAAAGCGCGCGUAGGCGGUCUGAUAAGCCGGUUGUGAAAGCCCCGGGCUCAACCUGGGAACGGCAUCCGGAACUGUCAGGCUAGAGUGCAGGAGAGGAAGGUAGAAUUCCCGGUGUAGCGGUGAAAUGCGUAGAGAUCGGGAGGAAUACCAGUGGCGAAGGCGGCCUUCUGGACUGACACUGACGCUGAGGUGCGAAAGCGUGGGAAGCAAACAGGAUUAGAUACCCCUGUAGUC
rnacentral:rRNA from 1 species